GACGAACGCUGGCGGCGUGCUUAACACAUGCAAGUCGAACGGAAAGGCCCUGCUUUUGUGGGGUGCUCGAGUGGCGAACGGGUGCGUAACACGUGAGUAACCUGCCCUUGACUUUGGGAUAACUUCAGGAAACUGGGGCUAAUCCCGGAUAGCAGCUCCUGCUGCAUGGUGGGGGUUGGAAAGUUUCGGCGGUUGGGGAUGGACUCGCGGCUUAUCAGCUUGUUGGUGGGGUAGUGGCUUACCAAGGCUGUGAAGGGUAGCCGGCCUGAGAGGGUGACCGGCGACAUUGGGACUGAGAUACGGCCCAGACUCCUACGGGAGGCAGCAGUGGGGAAUAUUGCACAAUGGGCGGAAGCCUGAUGCAGCAACGCCGCGUGCGGGAUGACGGCCUUCGGGGUGUAAACCGCUUUCGCCUGUUACGAAGCGGGAGUGACGGUAAUGGGUAAAGAAGCACCGGCUAACUACGUG
rnacentral:rRNA from 1 species